AAAGGCAGAAGCCCCAAGCUUGCCCAACUGGGCAGAAGGAUCCUCCUCCUGUUCAUCACUGAUAAUUAAUGAAGCCAUUAAACAGAAGUGGGCCCCACACUGAUCCCUGGGAGACACCACUAGUGACUGGCUGCCAACUGGAUGUGGCACUAUUUGCUACCACUCUCUGGCCAUCAGCCAGUUCUUUUUUGAUAAAGGUGGUCUCCUACCUGUGAUGUCUAAUUCUGUUGUUCAUAUUUAGUGAAGACUGUGAUACUGCACUUGGAGACAACAACCAGGGCCAGCAUUCAACAUCAUAUGUGGCUACCCCUUGUAUUUCAUUUCACAUAAAGAGGCAUCUAAAGUCUGCAGAGGAUGCCACAUCACGAGACUCUUAUAUUGUGGUUGCACCUGCCAGCAGCACUCAUAUGUAGCCUUCCUGGACUGAGAUUGUUACAACUUUACCUCUUACAAAGAGUUUUGUGUAAUCAGAGUGGACUAAUAAUGAGCGUAGGAAUUAAUGUGAUAAUAGUCUAAUCUCUCCCUGUGGUAUGCUACUGUCAGCUACUAAAGAUGGUGGUGGCCUUAUUUCCCUAGGAAGAUGUAUCUGACACUGCCUGUCAAAGAUCAAAGCUAAACUCUAAUAAAGAUGUUGCACUGAAGUAAAUUCAGUUUGCUAACAAA